rnacentral:sRNA from 1 species
GCUGGGUGCAGUGAUGCACUCCUGUAAUCCCAGCUACUUAGGAGGCUGAGGCAGGAAGAUUGUAAGAUUGAGGCCAGCCUGGACAAGUUAGUAAGAUCCUGUCUCAA